UGGCUCAGUGGUAGAGCGCUUGCCUUGCAUGCAUGAGGGCCUGGGUUCGAUUCCCAC
rnacentral:tRNA from 1 species